AGAGCGAACGCUGGCGGCAGGCCUAACACAUGCAAGUCGAGCGCCCCGCAAGGGGAGCGGCAGACGGGAGAGUAACACGUGGGAACGUACCCUUCAGUUCGGAACAACCCAGGGAAACUUGGGCUAAUACCGAAUACGUCCGUAAGGAGAAAGAUUUAUCGCUGAAGGAUCGGCCCGCGUCUGAUUAGCUUGUUGGUGAGGUAAUGGCUCACCAAGGCUACGAUCAGUAGCUGGUCUGAGAGGAUGAUCAGCCUCACUGGGACUGAGACACGGCCCAGACUCCUACGGGAGGCAGCAGUGGGGAAUAUUGGACAAUGGGCGCAAGCCUGAUCCAGCCAUGCCGCGUGGGUGAUGAAGGCCCUAGGGUUCGUAAAGCCCUUUCGGCGGGGAAGAUAAUGACGGUACCCGCAGAAGACGCCCGGCUAACUUCGCGCCAGCAGCCGC
rnacentral:rRNA from 1 species